AGAGGGGGCUAGCGUUGUUCGGAAUUACUGGGCGUAAAGGGCGCGUAGGUGGCCUGUUAAGUCGAACGUGAAAUCCCCGGGCUCAACCCGGGAACUGCGUCCGAGACUGGCAGGCUCGAAUCCGGGAGAGGGAUGUGGAAUUCCAGGUGUAGCGGUGAAAUGCGUAGAUAUCUGGAGGAACACCGGUGGCGAAGGCGGCAUCCUGGACCGGUAUUGACGCUGAGGCGCGAAAGCCAGGGGAGCAAACGGGAUUAGAUACCCCGGUAGUCCUGGCCCUAAACGAUGAAUGCUUGGUGUGGCGGGUAUCGAUCCCUGCCGUGCCGAAGCUAACGCAUUAAGCAUUCCGCCUGGGGAGUACGGUCGCAAGGCUG
rnacentral:rRNA from 1 species